GCUGGGGCUAACAGCGGGCACUCAUUCUGCUCCCGGGAUUUGAACCUGGGACCUUUUGGUCCACAAGUUCAGCAGCUCAGCGCUUUAACACACUGUGCCACCAGGGGCCCCUGGUAUCCUAAGAAAUAAGGCCUGGAAAACAACUACAAUUCAUAUACUGUAAUUUAAAAUUGCCGAUGAGGCCUGUGACAAAUGAUUAAAUGUUGACAUUGCUGACUUGAUGAACUCUUGGUGGAAAAACAGCUUGUUUACAUUGCCAAAGACAAUUGUUCUUUUAAGUAAGGAAGUCAACACUGUGGCUCCUGACGGAAAUGUUUGCACGGUUCCUUAUAUUAUGAAGGAAGCCACCAAGACUCCUUGAUAAGGAAAACGAAUAAACAAGAUCAACAUCUGUCCAAGAACUGAUGGAAUCAACAUGUUUUAGCUGUCUCUCAGUAAUUUACAACUUUCAGAACUAAAUCAACAGAAAAUACUACCCUUUUCUCUCAAAAAAGUGUCAAAUCAGCUGAACAGCAUUUCUGAAAACCAUUAUGAACAGCCGGCUCCUCUCAAGAAGCUGAUCAACUUCAAUAAAAGAAGGAUGGAAGAAAAUGGAUAUCAGCCAACAUACCUAGUGGUUCCACCACUCGAGCUACAGCAAGGAGAAUACCAACGAGGAGGAGGGAUAAAGGAGCCAUCUGGACGUCCUGUCUGGGAUGCAGCCAAGGUGUGCACAAGAGAAGGAUUUAUAGGCUUGGAAGAGCUUUAUGAUUGGCUGGGCGUAGACACAGUUCCCCUCCGAUAGAAGUUAUAAAUGGGUGGGAUCAUUGCCUGUGUCUAAAGGAAAGGGUGGAU
rnacentral:lncRNA from 11 species